AUUGACCUCGGAUCAGGUAGGGAUACCCGCUGAACUUAAGCAUAUCAAUAAGCGGAGGAAAAGAAACCAACAGGGAUUGCCUCAGUAACGGCGAGUGAAGCGGCAACAGCUCAGAUUUGAAAUCUGGCCCUUUCGGGGUCCGAGUUGUAAUCUGUAGAGAGUGCUUCGGGGGAGAUCGCGGUCUAAGUCCAUUGGAACAUGGCGUCAUAGAGGGUGAGAAUCCCGUAUGUGACUGUGGAUUGACCCCAUGCGAAGUCUCUUCGACGAGUCGAGUUGUUUGGGAAUGCAGCUCAAAAUGGGUGGUAAAUUUCAUCUAAAGCUAAAUACUGGCUGGAGACCGAUAGCGCACAAGUAGAGUGAUCGAAAGAUGAAAAGCACUUUGGAAAGAGAGUCAAAAAGUACGUGAAAUUGUUGAAA
rnacentral:rRNA from 1 species